AAACACACUCGAGGCUGCUCUGUGAGAAGUGUUUCUCUCCAGGCAGUCACUGAUGGCUUGCUACAGACUCUCAAUUAGGACUUCGAUCAUUCUGAGUGGUCUUUGGAUCUCUGUCCCGAAACAAGUCCACAGAAGGACACAGUCACCAGCAGCAUGCUGAACUCCAGGAAAAGGCAAACAGGCCGAUGUCACCAGACCUUAGGUGACACUGUGGUCUAAGUGAUGGAAGUUCCACCUCGGCUACCUCAACCUGGUCCCUGCCGAAUCUAAAGAAUUGCCCCCAAAAGGGUCACAGUGAGGGACCCUGCUUCAGGAGGAAGGGCUCGGACUAAUUUUCCUAGAGCUGUUGUGAGCAGCAGAUGGCCUGCCACCUUGGCCCUGCCUCCUCGACCAGAUGUCUGGGAAGUUCUCAAGGGCUGCAAGCAAGUAACCCCUAGAAGACACCUACUAUGUGCCUGUCUGUCCACAACGAUGGACUGGCACCUUGGUCUAGCUCAUGGUGAAAGAGGGGAGACAGCUUCCCUACCCGACUGUGAUGGGCUACCAUGAGCCUAUCUCUGUGUGAGGGCCUGAGUGAGGCUACUUUGCCAUGCAUGAGAUUUGUGGGAGUUCUGGGAGAGCCCCCACACAUGCCAACGCUUCCUCUGGCACAGCACCCAGUGCUCUAACAGACAGGCCUGCCGUACCUGCUGCUUGCUUGGUGUAAGCCACCCCAGCCUGUGUGCUUCUGCACCUGGCCCACAACACCGUGCUUGGCUUUUCCAGGGAAUCUGGUUCCCCGAAGCCCACAGCAUCUAAGCCCUGGCACGGAUGCACUUCCUUCUGUGUCGCCUGCUCAAGGAAACUUUACCAAGAGUGACCUAUUUCACCCAAAUGAGAACAAAACACCUCCCCCCUACCCCUCUCUCUUGUGAGCACACUCAGCAGGACUUCCAGACCACCACAGGACAGAAGGGAUGGACCAUCAUACCACCCCAUCUUGGCUGAGCUGGCAGGGGGUUAAGGACUGUGUGGAAAGGGCUGGUCCACAGAGCCCCAGGGGUCAGUCACAGUGGGUUCCAGC